rnacentral:rRNA from 1 species
GACGAACGCUGGCGGCGUGCUUAACACAUGCAAGUCGAACGGACAGACGCUGCUUUUGCGGGGUUCUCGAGUGGCGAACGGGGGUGUAACACAUGAGUAACCUCCCCUUAUCUGUGUGAUAACACCUGGAAACUGCGGCUAAUACCCGAUAGGAGCUCCUGAUGCAUGUGGGGGGUUGGAAAAUGUCGGCGGUUGGGGCUCGACUCGCGGGUUAUCAGCUUGUUUGUCGGGUAGUUGCUUACCAAGGCUUUGACGGGUAGCCGGCAUGAGAGGGUGGCCGGCGUCAAUGGGACUGAGGUAGGGACCAGACUGGUAUGUGAGGCAGCGGUGGAGAGCCUUGCACAAUGGGGGGACGCGUGAUGCGGCAGUGUCGCGAGCGGGAUGACGGCUUAUGGGUUAUAAACCGCUUUCGACUGAGACGAAGCGGGAGUGACGGUAAUGGGUAAAGAAGCACCGGCUAACUACGUG